rnacentral:rRNA from 1 species
UACGUAGGGGCGAGCGUUGUCCGGAUUUAUUGGGUUUAAAGGGUGCGUAGGCGGCUUUUUAAGUCAGCGGUGAAAUUUUGCAGCUUAACUGUAACAGUGCCGUUGAUACUGGGGAGCUAGGAUUUGGUUGCUGUGGGUGGAAUGUGUGGUGUAGCGGUGAAAUGCUUAGAGAUCACACAGAAUAUCGAUUGCGAAGGCAGCUCACAAAGCCAAGAUUGACGCUGAGGCACGAAAGUGUGGGGAUCAAACAGGAUUAGAUACCCGU